GGCCCCGUGGCGCAAUUGGCUAGCGCGGCUCUCCGUUCGUAUUACUAUUAGUAUAUCAUUAAGGCUGGAGGUAGAUACAGGUUCAAGUCCUGUCGGAGCCC
rnacentral:tRNA from 1 species